rnacentral:lncRNA from 1 species
CUGAGGAGCCGGCUGCAGGGCGGUGAUUCGCCCCCGGGAUGGUGGCGGCGAUUCCGUGCGCCUUCCUGCAGUUGGACAUCAGUUAUAUUUCAGGCUUUCAAAGUAAACGACGAACUCAGCACUUUGGCAGAGUCCAAAAUCCGCCAGCGAACUUGGGUGCUAGAGUUCGGCGGGAAGAAAAGCGCCCGGGCUGCGCCGACCGCCGGCCCCGAGCCGCCGCGGGCUCCGAGGAGUCGGCCGAGCUGCUCCCGCGCCCUGGCCGGCUGGGUCUUCAUCCUCAUUGUACUCCCUUGGCAUCUCAUGGUGACGUGACUUAGAAGGUGGUGCAGAGACGUUUGAAACUAUUGCUUUGCUGAAAACAUCUGACUGCCAGGCUAGGAUGUGACACUUAAGGGACUUACCAAUUUGGGAUUCUUCCAGGAGCUGAAAACUGAUUGCAAAUAUGAAACAGAUUUCACUACAGGACUUGAACCCUACAUUAAAAAACAACAAGCUCCCCAAAAUAAUUGAAAAAGAUCUUCACCAAAGAGUAGCUGCAAUGUGAAUGGCAGGAUAUGAAGCAAGUAAGAGAUGGUGAAAAGAUUAUCUUAAGCUUGGAAUUAAGUGAUGAAAGGGACCUUCGAAAUUAUCAACUCUAAAUACUUCUUUACAGGAAAAUUGAAAGCAGUUAAGAACCUGCCCCCUACCGUGGAGUUCUUGGUGCCGUGAGUUGGAGUUCUUGGUGCCUGGGUGCGUCCCCAAGGCCACUGGUCUUCAGAUCUUUCUUACUUGAGAAGAACGCCUCCGCCUCCUGGCUCUCCCACCAGUGGUAUUGCCACCACCACACACCAGCAUAAAGCACAGAUUGCUGCCCAGCUCCUUGGAGAGGGGCCAGUGCAUUUGUCAGGAAUUGAAAAGUUUUGGAGCCAGUUCGAGGACUUUCUCCUGCACAAAGUGUUGGCUGGAAGCAUGAAGCAAUAACACAUGGUUUGCCAAAGAAUCUGCAUUGAAUAAUACUGGUGGUGACCACAAGAACAUGCCUCUCUGACUGCAAGGAACAAGAGUGACCCAGGGUUUCAGCUGCUGCCUUGGAAAUUCAUCACAGUGCAAGUCUAUGCUUCCCACGGGCUGCUCCCAGCCUGUGAAUAAGCCUGGCAUCUUUGUUGAGGCAGGCCUAUUUCUGGAGAUGCAGGAUCCUCCGAUGGGCGAAUUUGGCUCUAGGACUGCUUGAUGGCCUUGACAGACUUUCCUUAGAAAUGCAUGGCAAUUUAGGGUUCCUCCACCCUUCCCUCUUUCUCUCCUUCACCUAGGGUCGGACUUGCAUCAUGGCCUGAAAGCUCCACCAGCCUCUCCUGCCCUCCUCCUCAUUUUCUUUCACAGGCAUAUCCUCUAAUAAAUUUCUUGCACAUUGAA